UGCAAGUCGAACGCGAAAGCCCCCUUCGGGGGGCAAGUAGAGUGGCGCACGGGUGAGUAACACGUAGGUAAUCUACCUUUGGAUUGGGAAUAACCACCGGAAACGGUGGCUAAUACCGAAUAAUGCAGCGGCACCUAAUGGUGACAGUUGUUAAAGCGGGGGAUCGCAAGACCUCGCGUCUGAAGAGGAGCCUGCGGCGGAUUAGCUAGUUGGUAAGGUAACGGCUUACCAAGGCGAUGAUCCGUAGCCGGCCUGAGAGGGCGGUCGGCCACACUGACACUGACAUACGGGUCAGACUCCUACGGGAGGCAGCAGUCGGGAAUUUUGGGCAAUGGGCGAAAGCCUGACCCAGCAACGCCGCGUGAAGGAUGAAAUCCUUCGGGAUGUAAACUUCGCAAGAACGGGAAGAAUAAGUAAGGGUUAAUAUCCCUUACGAUGACGGUACCGUUUGUAAGCUCCGGCUAACUCCGUGCCAGCAGCCGCGGUAAUACGGGGGGAGCAAGCGUUGUUCGGAUUUACUGGGCGUAAAGGGCGCGUAGGCGGCCACCGCAAGUCGACUGUGAAAUCUCCGGGCUUAACCCGGAAAGGUCAGCCGAUACUGCGGGGCUAGAGUGCAGAAGGGGCAACUGGAAUUCUCGGUGUAGCGGUGAAAUGCGUAGAUAUCGAGAGGAACACCUGCGGCGAAGGCGGGUUGCUGGGCUGACACUGACGCUGAGGCGCGAAAGCUAGGGGAGCGAACGGGAUUAGAUACCCCGGUAGUCCUAGCCUUAAACGAUGAAUGCUUGGUGUCUGGGGUUUUAUAGUCCCCGGGUGCCGUCGCUAACGCUUUAAGCAUUCCGCCUGGGGAGUACGGUCGCAAGACUG
rnacentral:rRNA from 1 species